UGGGCAUCUGCCCCAAGAUGGAGGCCCCCCCCAACUCUGUGGGCCUCCAAGUGGGAGGACUUGGCUGCAAGGAGAUGAGGGGGGCACUGAGUCAUGCAGGAGGCCAGUGUGGCUGGAAUGAGGUUCAGAUCUGGGGGAGGGGCUGAUUUUGUCCCUGAGCUGCUUUUAGCAGAAAAGCUGAGUGCUGAGGUCAGCUGAGGCUGAAGUCCUGCUUAUGUCUUCAUCUCCAGGAGCUCAUCCCCGCUCCUGCACUGUGGCCAUAGCUCCAGGCAGCCGCGCGCCGACCCCACCCACAGGCCUGGGUGGAGCUGAAGGUCUAAGCCCCAUGCCAGACCCUCAUCCAGGCAGCGACCCCUGGGCACAGGGGGCAUGGCAGGGACACCGAUUUCCUCCUCCUUCUGUCAGUUUGGACAAAGAUUCCAGGGCCACAGACCACCGUCUGGCCGCCCCAAACUGCUUUCUCCAAAAGGGCUUGCCCCAAAGCUUUGCCCACCGAGUCCUGGAGCUGCUGAGCGUCCUGCCGGGCCUCACCUUAGUCUCUCCUGUCGCCUUGUGAGGAAGUGCCUGCUUCCCCUUCCACCAUG
rnacentral:lncRNA from 10 species